UACGAAGGGGGCUAGCGUUGCUCGGAAUUACUGGGCGUAAAGCGCACGUAGGCGGCUUUCUAAGUCGGGGGUGAAAUCCUGGAGCUCAACUCCAGAACUGCCUUCGAUACUGGAAAGCUCGAGUCCGGGAGAGGUGAGUGGAACUGCGAGUGUAGAGGUGAAAUUCGUAGAUAUUCGCAAGAACACCAGUGGCGAAGGCGGCUCACUGGCCCCGGUACUGACGCUGAGGUG
rnacentral:rRNA from 1 species